rnacentral:rRNA from 1 species
GUAAGGAAUAUUGGUCAAUGGGGGCAACCCUGAACCAGCCAUGCCGCGUGCAGGAAGACGGCCCUACGGGUUGUAAACUGCUUUUAUACGGGAAUAAACCUCUCUACGUGUAGGGAGUUGAAUGUACUGUAAGAAUAAGGAUCGGCUAACUCCGUGCCAGCAGCCGCGGUAAUACGGAGGAUCCAAGCGUUAUCCGGAUUUAUUGGGUUUAAAGGGUGCGUAGGCGGCCUAUUAAGUCAGGGGUGAAAGACGGUGGCUCAACCAUCGCAGUGCCCUUGAUACUGAUGGGCUUGAUUACACUUGAGGUAGGCGGAAUGUGACAAGUAGCGGUGAAAUGCAUAGAUAUGUCACAGAACACCAAUUGCGAAGGCAGCUUACUAAGGUGUUAAUGACGCUGAGGCACGAAAGCGUGGGGAUCAAACAGGAUUAGAUACCCUUGUAGUCC